GAAGGUGGCCUGUGAGGGUUGCUGGAGGUAUCAGAAGUGCGAAUGCUGACAUAAGUAACGAUAAAGCGGGUGAAAAGCCCGCUCGCCGGAAGACCAAGGGUUCCUGUCCAACGUUAAUCGGGGCAGGGUGAGUCGACCCCUAAGGCGAGGCCGAAAGGCGUAGUCGAUGGGAAACAGGUUAAUAUUCCUGUACUUGGUGUUACUGCGAAGGGGGGACGGAGAAGGCUAUGUUGGCCGGGCGACGGUUGUCCCGGUUUAAGCGUGUAGGUGUGUGUUCCAGGUAAAUCCGGUUCACUUUAACACUGAGGCGUGACGACGAGGCACUACGGUGCUGAAGCAACAAAUGCCCUGCUUCCAGGAAAAGCCUCUAAGCAUCAGGUAACAUCAAAUCGUACCCCAAACCGACACAGGUGGUCAGGUAGAGAAUACCAAGGCGCUUGAGAGAACUCGGGUGAAGGAACUAGGCAAAAUGGUGCCGUAACUUCGGGAGAAGGCACGCUGACACGUAGGUGAAGUGAUUUACUCAUGGAGCUGAAGUCAGUCGAAGAUACCAGCUGGCUGCAACUGUUUAUUAAAAACACAGCACUGUGCAAACACGAAAGUGGACGUAUACGGUGUGACGCCUGCCCGGUGCCGGAAGGUUAAUUGAUGGGGUCAGCGCAAGCGAAGCUCCUGAUCGAAGCCCCGGUAAACGGCGGCCGUAACUAUAACGGUCCUAAGGUAGCGAAAUUCCUUGUCGGGUAAGUUCCGACCUGCACGAAUGGCGUAAUGAUGGCCAGGCUGUCUCCACCCGAGACUCAGUGAAAUUGAACUCGCUGUGAAGAUGCAGUGUACCCGCGGCAAGACGGAAAGACCCCGUGAACCUUUACUAUAGCUUGACACUGAACAUUGAGCCUUGAUGUGUAGGAUAGGUGGGAGGCUUUGAAGCGUGGACGCCAGUCUGCGUGGAGCCGACCUUGAAAUACCACCCUUUAAUGUUUGAUGUUCUAACGUGGACCCGUAAUCCGGGUUGCGGACAGUGUCUGGUGGGUAGUUUGACUGGGGCGGUCUCCUCCUAAAGAGUAACGGAGGAGCACGAAGGUUGGCUAAUCCUGGUCGGACAUCAGGAGGUUAGUGCAAUGGCAUAAGCCAGCUUGACUGCGAGCGUGACGGCGCGAGCAGGUGCGAAAGCAGGUCAUAGUGAUCCGGUGGUUCUGAAUGGAAGGGCCAUCGCUCAACGGAUAAAAGGUACUCCGGGGAUAACAGGCUGAUACCGCCCAAGAGUUCAUAUCGACGGCGGUGUUUGGCACCUCGAUGUCGGCUCAUCACAUCCUGGGGCUGAAGUAGGUCCCAAGGGUAUGGCUGUUCGCCAUUUAAAGUGGUACGCGAGCUGGGUUUAGAACGUCGUGAGACAGUUCGGUCCCUAUCUGCCGUGGGCGCUGGAGAACUGAGGGGGGCUGCUCCUAGUACGAGAGGACCGGAGUGGACGCAUCACUGGUGUUCGGGUUGUCAUGCCAAUGGCACUGCCCGGUAGCUAAAUGCGGAAGAGAUAAGUGCUGAAAGCAUCUAAGCACGAAACUUGCCCCGAGAUGAGUUCUCCCUGAGACUUAGAGUCUCCUGAAGGAACGUUGAAGACGACGACGUUGAUAGGCCGGGUGUGUAAGCGCAGCGAUGCGUUGAGCUAACCGGUACUAAUGAACCGUGAGGCUUAACCUUACAACGCCGAAG
rnacentral:rRNA from 1 species